rnacentral:rRNA from 1 species
AUGCCGCCGCACGACCGUAAGGCGGCGCCGGGCCGCCGGAUGCUGGCGCUGCCCACGGUGUGCCCGUGCGAGGCCAUCGCCCCCGGGACGCUGCUGGCGUCGCUCGUCGCCCUCGUGGCCGAGGUCGCCCGCCACGACGCCGCCGCGCUCCCCGUGCUCCGUCGAGGGGCCGGCGAGGCCCUGCGCAUCACCCGCGUCCUCCUCGCGUUCCUCGAGGAGGUCCGCGAGGCGGCGGCGCCCCUGCCGGACGCGUCGGUGCUCGGCCUGUCCGAGCUCCACGUCGCGAUGCAGAAGCUCCGGUUCCUGCUCGCGGACUGCUCCAGGAGAGGGGCGAGGCUGUGGGUGCUGAUGAACGCCGACCUCGUCGCCUCCGAGCUCCGGUUCGUCCUCUGCUCCGUGGCCACGGCCAUGGACGUCCUGCCGGCGGACGUGGUCGGGGCGUCCGUCGAGGCCGGAGAGCUCGCGAGGCUUCUGUCCCAGCAGGCGUGGCGCGCGCCGGUGUGGCCGGACGAGGACGACGGGCGCGCGAUCCGGAGCGUGCGCUCCAUGCUCGCGCUGUUCAGGGGCAGCGCCACGCCGCACGCGGAGGACGCGAUGAUGGUGCUCGGCCGCGUCGGCAUCACCAGCUGGUGCGACUGCGCCGAGGAGGCCACUUUCCUCGAGGCCGAGCUGUUGGACCGCCUGGAGGACGGCCGCGAGAACGACAACGACCUCGUGCUCAUCAGCGGCCUCAUGGCGUUCCUCGUGUACUGUCGCGUCGUCUUGUUUGACAGCGUUGAUGCCAAGAAAGCUGACGCGGCAGCGCCCGGGUCGAGGCCGGCAGCGAGCUGCGCGGCGUGGACCAGCCAGGAGGCGCUGCAAUGCCCGAUCAGUCUGGAGCUGAUGACCGACCCGGUGACCGUGACCACCGGCCAAACUUACGACCGGACGUCCAUCAAACGGUGGGUCAAGGGCGGGUGCCGGACGUGCCCUGUUACCGGCGAGAAGCUCCGCAGCGCCCAGUUCGUGCCGAACGUAGCCGUGCGCGGCAUUGUCGAGCAGCUGCUCCUCGCCAACGGGACACCGCUCCACGAGCAGCAAAGCAGCAAGCACCGGUGUGCGGUCGAUAAGACCGCCUCGGCGUUCGGCCCGGCCGCGGCCGGCGGCGUGCGUCUCGCCGUGGCCUUCCUUAUUGCCAGGCUCUCCAGGGGCACGCCCGAGGAGCAGAAGAAAGCGGCCUUCGAGGUGCGGAAGCUGGCGAAGCGCAACGUGUACCACCGCGCGUGCCUCGUGGAGGCCGACGCCGUGCCGUGGCUCCUCCACCUCCUCUCCUCGGCGGACGCGUCCGUCCAGGACAACGCCAUCGCCAGCCUGCUCAACCUCUCGAAGCACGCGGCCGGGCGGAGAGCGCUCGUGGAGGCGGGCGGGCUCGGGCUCGUCGUCGACGCCGUCAACGUGGCGGCCAAGGUGGAGGCGCGGCAGAACGCAGCGGCCAUCAUGUUCUACCUCUCGCCGAACAGCGAGUACUGCCAGGAGAUCGGCCGCAUCCCGGAGGCCAUCCCGACGCUGGUGCGCCUCAUGAGGGACGGCACUUACCGCGGCCGCAAGAACGCGCUGGUGAGCCUCCACGGGGUGCUCCACGGCGCGAGCAGCAUCGGGAAGGCGGUGACCGCCGGCGCUGUGGGCGUGCUCGCCACCCUCCUGUCCGGCGACCGCGAGGACCUGGCGAACGACUCCGUCGCCCUGCUAGCGAGGAUCGGCGAGCAGCCGGCCGGCGCGACGGCCAUCCUGGCCAGCUCGGAGCUUUUCACAAGCCUCGUCGACUUCCUCGGCGCGUCGGCGUCUCGGUCGGGGAAGGACCACUGCGUGGCGCUGCUGGCCUCGCUGUGCAUGCACGGAGGAGACAAGGUCGUCGCCCUGAUGGGCAAGAUGACUGCGCUUAUGCCCGCGCUGUACGCGCUCAUCGCCGACGGCAGCCCUCUGGCGAACAAGAAGGCGAGGUGGCUCAUUAACGAGAUCCACCGGGUCUACGAGCAGCGCCAGCCGCCGCCGGUCGUGCCGCCGGCGGGUGACCGUGUCAUUCGAGUAUAG